CAAAGGGACACCAUGGACACACCACCCUGCCUUGGAUGGGCCCCAGGAGCAGCCCAAAGCCAGCACGAGUCACCUUCUGUAUGAGCCAACCCAGGACACAAUGGAUUGUCUGCUCCAGCAAGAGCUACACCCGCCCUCGCCUGAGCGAGGGAGAGGGAUGGAUGACUGAAGAGCCCAGAACAUGGAGCAUCUGUCAGAGAACUGUCAGCUUGGGGCACCAGAUUGACUCACCUCCAGCUCAUUUUCAUCAAAAAUUUUAAUCAGAUCAAUAGGAAGCAGUUCUGUGAAUCCCUAAAAAGAAAAAGAGCAAAGCGAUCCCUGAUGCUCUUGUGCAGUACAAACGACAGGAAUUGCAGCAGGGUCAAUUGAGACCAAAAAACCUCUGGUUAUUUGAGGACAUCUGGGAACCCACUCCAGGACCCGCUCUCCCUGAGCAGCAUUUUACAAGCAGCAUCAGGAAAUCAUUAGUAAAUUGAUUUACACUUUUGAACAAACUUGUGCUGACAGAAGAGCAAACUGGCAGAUGCUGACUAUUUACUAAU